GAGGAAUAUUGGGCAAUGGGCGAAAGCCUGACCCAGCCACGCCGCGUGAGUGAUGAAGGCCUUCGGGUCGUAAAGCUCUGUGGAGAGGGACGAAAACCCUGGUUUCAAAUAGGCUCCAGGCUUGACGGUACCUCUUUAGCAAGCACCGGCUAACUCUGUGCCAGCAGCCGCGGUAAUACAGAGGGUGCAAACGUUGCUCGGAUUUACUGGGCGUAAAGCGCGUGUAGGCGGGUUCGCAAGUCGGACGUGAAAUCCCUGGGCUCAACCCAGGAACUGCGUUCGAAACUGCGAAUCUAGAGUAGUGGAGAGGAAAGUAGAAUUCCCGGUGUAGAGGUGAAAUUCGUAGAUAUCGGGAGGAAUACCAGUGGCGAAGGCGGCUUUCUGGACACUUACUGACGCUGAGACGCGAAAGCGUGGGGAGCAAAC
rnacentral:rRNA from 1 species